rnacentral:rRNA from 1 species
UACGUAGGGCGCAAGCGUUGUCCGGAAUUAUUGGGCGUAAAGAGCUCGUAGGCGGCUAGUCGCGUCUGCUGUGAAAUCCCGGGGCUCAACCCCGGGCGUGCAGUGGAUACGGGCUGGCUCGAGUUCGGUAGGGGAGACUGGAAUUCCUGGUGUAGCGGUGAAAUGCGCAGAUAUCAGGAGGAACACCGAUGGCGAAGGCAGGUCUCUGGGCCGAUACUGACGCUGAGGAGCGAAAGCGUGGGGAGCGAACAGG